UACGGAGGGUGCGAGCGUUGUCCGGAAUCACUGGGCGUAAAGGGCGCGUAGGCGGCGCAACAAGUCACUUGUGAAAUCUCCGGGCUUAACUCGGAGCGGUCAAGUGAUACUGUCGUGCUAGAGUGCGGAAGGGGCUACUGGAAUUCUCGGUGUAGCGGUGAAAUGCGUAGAUAUCGAGAGGAACACCUGAGGUGAAGACGGGUUGCUGGGCCGACACUGACGCUGAGUGCGCGAAAGCCAGGGGAGCAAACGGG
rnacentral:rRNA from 1 species